UUGGAGGGCAAGUCUGGUGCCAGCAGCCGCGGUAAUUCCAGCUCCAAUAGCGUAUAUUAAAGUUGUUGCAGUUAAAAAGCUCGUAGUUGAAUUUCGAGAUCAAAUUGUUGGUCGUGCCUUGGUACGUACUGGCAUUAUUGAUUUCUCCCUUCUGAAGAACCACGAUGUCAUUAAUUUGGUGUCAUGGGGAAUCAGGACUGUUACUUUGAAAAAAUUAGAGUGCUUAAAGCAGGCUAACGCUUGAAUACAUUAGCAUGGAAUAAUGAAAUAGGACGUUUGAUUCUAUUUUGUUGGUUUCUAGGAUCGACGUAAUGAUUAAUAGGGAUAGUUGGGGGCAUUAGUAUUCAAUUGCCAGAGGUGAAAUUCUUGGAUUUAUUGAAGACUAACUACUGCGAAAGCAUUUGCCAAGGAUGUUUUCAUUAAUCAAGAACGAAAGUUAGGGGAUCGAAGACGAUCAGAUACCGUCGUAGUCUUAACCAUAAACUAUGCCGACUAGGGAUCGGAUGAUGUUAAUUUUUUAAUGACUCAUUCGGCGCCUUACGGGAAAC
rnacentral:rRNA from 1 species